ensembl:snoRNA
AUCUGAUCCACUACAAAUCUUUAAGAUAUGCUGUGUUUCUGCAGAGAUGUGUAAAAAGUUCACAGGAACAAUGCCUUGUUACAAGCCUAAAGGACACUGUAGUCACUAGGAUAUCUGAAAAUGGCUUCAAUA